rnacentral:lncRNA from 1 species
AAUAUAUUGAAAUUAAAAAUCAAUUCUUAUUUAUAUACAUUCAUAUUUUUAAAUUCGUUUUACAAUUCUUAUUGAAUUUACAUACAUACAUAUUUAUAAAUUUAUUUUGACAUUAUAUACAUGCAUUCUUACUCGACAAAUUAAUAAAUUAUGUGUAGUAAAAAUAAUUUUUAAUUAAAUUUUAUCAUUUAAAUUAGCAAAAUAUUUUUAUUGUUCAUCUUCUUCUUCAUCUAACCCAACAACAGCAACACCACCACCAUAAUUCAUAGCCAUCGUUAUUAUCCAUAACCAUUGGCUAUAACCACCAUUAAUUUCAGAUCUAAAUGUUUAACUAUAAGAAAUAAUUUGAGUACAUUGAAAGAGAAUAAUAAAAAUAUUCAAAAAAUAAAACAAAAUAACAUAUUUUCUGGGUUCCUUUUUAUUCUUCAAAACAGAUCCAAGCUUCCUAGCCCCAAAACAGAGCAACAACAUGAUGAUGGCUUCGAUCUCCCCCUGCUGACUUUCUGUCUCUUCUUCCCUGAUCGGAUGUAGUCCAAUCUCUCUCCCCCUGCUGACUUUCUCUCUCUUCUUCCCAAAAAGUUAUGGGUUUAAUUAGUUACUUAGUUAUAAUCUAUCUUCCUUAUGAUGCACCAGGUCUAAAACUUUUGUUUUUCAAAAAUAAUUCCAAAAGUAAACCCAGCAAAGCAUAAAUUGUUUGAUAGCAAAUAUUAGAGAGAGAAAUUAUACAUAUAGAGAUACCAGAUCGAGAAAGGAGGAAGAAGAUUACCCAAAACUAUAAUUUGAUGAACAAUAAAUUAAACCUAGGAUUUAUACUUCAUGAACAUCUCUCUAAUUACCCAAAUCUUUGGCUAAGAAAAUCGAAAAGUAAGAAUUAAGUUGGUUUGAAUUAUUUUUGCAGUGAUAUAUGUAAGAUGAAUGAAAUGAUGAUGGUGGUGAAAGAACGGUGAUGUUGAUGUUGUUUGCCAAUACAAAUGAGAACCCAAAUUUGUUGAAAGAGUAUAAUUUCUUUUAUAUUAUUAUUAUUAUUUUGGGUCGGGUCGGGUCGGAUAUAUUUGUUUUUAAUGGAUGACUAUUGCUUAUGUGUGUAAUGACUAGGAUUAUGUGGUCAAACCGUUUAAGGUGAGUUAAUGGUUUUUCUAACGGUUUGUUAAUAAAGUAAAGUACAGUGAGUUGAUUGUAAAAAAAAACGAUUAAGUGACUCACUUGUAAAUUAACAUAAAAUACAAUGACAAAAAAAACAUUUAACUCAGAUUCACCCAUAUUGACUGUAUUCAUGAUCCUUCAAGAGGGUUCGGGCUCAUCCAUCCGAUUGGGUAACGGAAACACAUUCGUGUCUUUUAGAGGGGGUUCAGAGUAUUGUUCCCUAAGG